rnacentral:tRNA from 2 species
GGGGACAUAGCUCAAUUGGUUAGAGCGCCGCCCUGUCACGGCGGAGGUUGCGGGUUCGAGCCCCGUUGUCCCCGCCA